GACGAACGCUGGCGGCGUGCUUAACACAUGCAAGUCGAACGGAAAGGCCCUGCUUUUGUGGGGUGCUCGAGUGGCGAAAGGGUGAGUAACACGUGAGUAACCUGCCCUUGACUUUGGGGUAAAUUCAGGAAAAUGGGGUUAAUAUACGAUAGGAGCUCCUGCAGCAUGGGGGGGGUGGGAAAAUGUCGGCGUUUGGGCAUGGACGCGCGGUUUAUCAGCUUGUUGGUUGGGUGGUGGCUUACCAAGGCUUUGACGGGUAGCCGGCCUGAGAGUGUGACCGGGCCCAUUGGGCCUGAGAUAGGGCCCAGAGGGCUACGUGAGGCAGCGGUGGGAAACAUUGCACAAUGGGCCGCAUCCGGAUGGAGAGACGCCGGGUGCGGAAUGACGGCUUUUGGGGUAUAAACCGCUUUAGCCUGUGACGCAGCGCGAGUGACGGUAACUAGUCAAGAAGCACCGGCUAACUACGUG
rnacentral:rRNA from 1 species